UACGUAGGUGGCAAGCGUUGUCCGGAAUUAUUGGGCGUAAAGCGCGCGUAGGCGGCCUUUUAAGUCUGAUGUGAAAGCCCACGGCUCAACCGUGGAAGGUCAUUGGAAACUGAAAGGCUUGAGUACAGAAGAGGAAAGCGGAAUUCCACGUGUAGCGGUGAAAUGCGUAGAGAUGUGGAGGAACACCAGUGGCGAAGGCGGCUUUCUGGUCUGUAACUGACGCUGAGGCGCGAAAGCGUGAGGAGCAAACAGG
rnacentral:rRNA from 1 species